UCCGAAUUGGUGUAGUGGCCAACAUUUGACGCUCUCAUAAUAGAAGUACCGUCAAGCCCGGGGUUCGAUUCCCCGAUUCGGAG